rnacentral:rRNA from 1 species
GAUGAACGCUAGCUACAGGCCUAACACAUGCAAGUCGAGGGGAAACGAUGAGAGAGCUUGCUCUUUUAGUUGUCGACCGGCGCACGGGUGAGUAAUGCGUAUCCACCCUGUCUCUGACCAAGGGAUACGUCGUCGAAAGUCGGAUUAAUACUCUAUGCAGUCGCCGGAAGUAACAUGAUGACGACGAACGAUUUCAUCGGUGAGAGAUGGGGAUGCGUCUGAUUAGCUUGUUGGCGGGGUAACGGCCCACCAAGGCGACGUUCAGUAGGGGUUCUGAGGGGAAGGUCCCCCGCAUUGGAGCUGAGGCACAGACCAAACUCCUACGGAGGGCAGCAGUAUGGAAUAUUAGUCGAUGAGCGUAGACCUAAACCAGCCGAGUGGCGUGCAGAAUGACGGUCCUAUGAAUUGUAAGCUGCUUUUAUGCAAGAAUAAAGUGAGGAACGUGUCCUGCAUUGCAGGUACCGCAUGAAUAAGGACCGGCUAAUUCCGUG